rnacentral:lncRNA from 1 species
AAAACACCAGCGAAGCCCGGUGGCGCCGCCACAUAAAAUUUCACAAAAUGCCUCUGAUGAUGCCCUUCCUGAUUCCCGUUUUACAUAAUUUUUCCACUGUAGUGAUCACUGUUUUCUUCUUUACAGGUUGACCGAAGCAAAACACCCAACCGCAAAGUGAGCUGGAGGAGCCGCCGCACCGGAGAGCCCUGCCGCUAGUGAGUUUUAAUUU